rnacentral:pre_miRNA from 1 species
AAUAAGUACAUUUUGCAUGGUUUAUGUGAAACGUUUGAUCAUUCGCUUUAUUUGAAUUUUUUUUUAUGAUUAGUAUUUUUGUUAUUAUUAGAUGAUAAAACAUGAAUAGUACUUUAUGUGUGAUUUUUUUUAUAAAUUUUUCAAAUAAGACGGACAUCAAACGUUGGACGCGGAUUCUCAUGGCU